AAACAUGGCUCUUUGUCAAUAUAAUAUAAGGAGUCGGACCUGCCCAGUGAUAAAUUUAACGGCCGCGGUACUCUGACCGUGCAAAGGUAGCAUAAUCAUUUGCCCUAUAAUUGAGGGCUGGAAUGAAUGGUUUGACAAGAGUAAUACUGUCUCUUUAAAAUUUCCCAAAAUUUAAUUUAUAGGUCAAGAAUCCUAGAUAAAAUUAAAAGACAAGAAGACCCUAUCGAGCUUUAAAAAAGAGCAUGAAAUAAUAUACUAUAUUUAAAGUCAUCUAAUAUUUUGGUUGGGGCGACUAAGGAACAUUUAAAGCUUCUUAUUUUACUGAAAGUUUUGAUCCAGUACUGAUUAAAAAAAUUAGUUACCGUAGGGAUAACAGCAUAAUCUCUCUUAAGAGCUCAUAUCGAAAGAGAGGUUUGGACCUCGAUGUUGGACUAGAAUAUCCUAAAGAUGCAGAAGU
rnacentral:rRNA from 1 species